rnacentral:rRNA from 1 species
GACGAACGCUGGCGGCGUGCUUAACACAUGCAAGUCGAACGGAAAGGCCCAGCUUGCUGGGUGCUCGAGUGGCGAACGGGUGAGUAACACGUGGGUGAUCUGCCCCUAACUUCGGGAUAAGCUUGGGAAACUGGGUCUAAUACCGGAUAGGACAAUCGUUUAGUGUCGGUUGUGGAAAGUUUUUUCGGUUAGGGAUGAGCCCGCGGCCUAUCAGCUUGUUGGUGGGGUAAUGGCCUACCAAGGCGUCGACGGGUAGCCGGCCUGAGAGGGUGGCCGGCCACAUUGGGACUGAGAUACGGCCCAGACUCCUACGGGAGGCAGCAGUGGGGAAUAUUGCACAAUGGGCGCAAGCCUGAUGCAGCGACGCCGCGUGGGGGAUGACGGCCUUCGGGUUGUAAACCUCUUUCGACAGGGACGAAGCUUUGGUGACGGUACCUGUAUAAGAAGCACCGGCUAACUACGUGCCAGCAGCCGCCGUAAAAC